CGACGAGCUCUCCGCUAAUGCACCAACUUAAUAACAUUGAAGCUAGUUUGGAGGAUAAAAACCUAACAGGGUGGGGAAAGACACCUAGGCGCCCGCGGAGGCAAAGAUGCCCUGCAGGUAAUCCUCCGGCUGUCCUGUUAACUUAAACACGAGCAAAAAUGAAAGUUGUAAUAUUGUCGAUUCAUCAUUUAUAGAGACCUGUUAACUUAAACACGAGCAAAAAGUGACAGUUGUAAUAUUGUCGAUUCAUCAUUUAUAGAGAUGACAUUUAACGGAUUUAGGGAGCUUUGUUUAUGAGUUUCAGGAGUGAGUUUUUAGCUAAAUGGGGAUUGUUUUUGUACAUGUCUUUGUUUGCUCCAUAAUUUGGAGCCCCCAUUAUUAUGUUUCUUAUAUUGGAUUACUGGCUUUGUAUUCAGGAGGAUGCUGCUGCAUAAUGUCUUGUGUUUUUAUACAGCAUUUCUUUAGCUGUGUAUUAAUGUUAUUCAGUGCCUCUUGCACAGAAAUGCAAGGUAAGACUGCAGACAAUAGAUCCAUAUGGUUCGAUCUUUUCUUAGACCCCACACAGGUAGGAACUUAGUGCACCGGUUGCCCUUUAGUGCUGUUGUUUGGUUCCACAUGCUUUUUCCUUUUUCUUAACAUCUAAUUCUCACGAGAUUUAGCCAUUUGAUCUCAUGAGAAACGCUAUUAUUGCUAUA
rnacentral:lncRNA from 1 species